AAGUGUUACAGUUCUUUUAUAAUUUGUCAGGUCUUCCAGUCUGUACUGAGAGCCCUCC
rnacentral:snRNA from 1 species